GGGAGCAACAAUACGGCGAGAUGAACACUCCGGAGCCAUCCUGGUCGCCCGGAUCAUGAGAGGAGGGGCGGCCGACAGGAGCGGGCUGAUCCACGUUGGGGAUGAACUGAAGGAGGUGAACGGGAUCCCUGUGGACGACAAGAAACCCGAGGAAAUCAUCCAGAUCCUGGCCCAGUCUCAAGGAGCCAUCACCU